ACUUGAUUGUCCCCAAUGCUCACCCGAGCGGAUAAAUUAAAGUCGGCAAAUUGAUUGUCAAAUCAGCUCCACCGAACGGUAGCACUACUCAAUGGAUACAGUUUGGCAGAAUGCUCUCUGGCAGUAUGAAUAAACAGAGCAAGCAGAGAAGGUGAAGAUAGUUCUCAUUAAAUUUUCAUCAACCCAGUGAUCAACCUGUUGAAUUGAAAUCACGUUAGCGUGAUAAGUUUUUGACUGUUGGAGGAAGUGAUCCAUGAAUAGGUGUAUCAAGUGGUAACUGUAAUGGUGUGCCGUAAACACACACGGGAAACAUGUGCAACAGUGAUACCUUUGGCAAAUCGACACAAGCUGAACUCAACAGUUGGCAACGACAGUUUUUCAGCGAUUCGUGAACGUAUUUCCCUGUCAACUUAGCUCUGGACGGCUCAACAGUGGUACUGCACGUGCAUCGGCAGAAGAGUGUACAAAUUACUAGGGAAUCUUCUAGCAACAGCAGAUGACCUUAUUCGUGAGGAAAACCGAACUAUAGCUACCAGUAACCAACGAAAUUGCACGAAAAAACUACGGUUUAACCAGCUCUGAGGGUAAUUUCAUCGGAACCAUUUCAAGACCGAUUCCCCGGCAGGUGAGCGCUACCUCUUCGGACGAUCCCACACACUGGCACCCCAUGGCCUGCCAGGGUUUACAAAUUUCUUUCAGCGUCCGGCCAACGAUGCCAUACUGCUGAAGAGCCUUCUCGUACAUCUCCUUGGCCUCUUUUUCCGGAUCCGACGAGGGCAUCAGCAAACUUUCCUUCAGCAUCAUUUUUGUCUGGCUGGUGGUUUGCAGUGUCGGUCUCAGCCCGUGCACAUUCCGGACGCAACAGUGGAAAAAUAGUAACACUAACAACACCAGGACCACGUGGCCCUUCAUCGUUGAGUGGUUGAUAAACCGUACCACCAUAGCACCAAUCACUGAACACACACACGGACUUAUCGGACAAAUUAUUUCCUCUCGUCGACGGAAAAUAAAUCACUUGUUGUAAAUGUACACUAAACGGCAACGACGGUAACCUCCGUAAGUACCACUGCCACUACUGACGGGAAGCAGAAAUAAAAGGUGCCGAAAUGAUGUUUUCAUAUUGUUCUUAUUGCAACUUGUUGCUUUCGGCGUAAAGAUUUACUGUAGUUUAAGCGUCGAAUGUUUUGCGCGGAACACCUCCGCUACUCAGUGGGUCACACGCGGCGCAACUAUUCGCAGCUUUUUUACGACGCAAACAGAGCACACUAAACACGCAAACAGCGGCCACACAGUCAGUGGCACGAUGUCCCUCAAUCCGUGA